CCUUUUUUCCCCCUCUCUUUCGUUUUAUCCAAACUCAGGGGAAUAAUUGUUCCUUUCUUACUAUGGUUUUACAAAAGUACUGAUUGGGUUUAGGUUUAAUUUGUGGGCUUGAUUAUAAUUCUUCUUGCAGAUGGUUUUGCCGCUCUGCGGAGAUUCAUUUACCAUUUGAAAAUUAUUCCUUGGCAUUUUUCUUUCCAAGACGAGGGCUUUCAGGGAAAACUGAUUAUUGAAAAGUGCCAAAGGCCGGCUGAAUUAGAUGUCGUUUACCAUUUGUUAAGCUUAUCUUACGAGAACUUGGAUUUUUCCAAGCUUUUUAAGUGUUACCUCUGCAUUGAUAAUUGAGAGAAGAUACCUAAAUAGCUCGUGAUUUAAGAGUUCAAAAUAUGCUUGAUUCCCUUGAUGACCGUAGAAGAUGUUACACAUUCAGGUUGACUUACUAAGGAAAGUUUCGUCGGCUUAAAACAUCUUAUUAGCUAGUCCUAGAAGCAACAUGAACAUGAAUCACCCUCAUCCAUAUGGUGAAGAUCAAGAUGAAGCCACUGUCAUGGGCUUUGAAGUUGCAAGAUCACCUGAUGCAAGUUACAACAAUGUGUAUCCUGGGCAUGAAGAUGUAGGGAGGGAACCACUGGCGGUACCGCCACAUCUGCAUCACACCUUGCUAAACCACCCAACAACAAGAGAUCCCUCAACAUCCCUACCGUUGCCACAGAACGUGGUGCUAAACCAUCUGUAUAUUGAGAACAGAGAAGCCCCGAGGUCAGUUGUAGCACUUGGUGUAACACAUCGUUUUCGCUCAAAAUAUGUUACGGUCAUGCUUUACAAGCCCGUUCAAAGAAGGUGAGCUAGCAUGUCGAACAUGCCUGAAUGUAUACACCAUCUUUGGCUUGUACUCUGAUGGAAAACAGUAGACGUAAAUACACAGCAGUCUGCAGUGGAGAAUGAUUAUUUCUUCCCUGCUGCUAGUAGAAGGAAAAUAUGGUAGCAGGUAUCCUUGGACUUGAAUAAUUGUAGUUAGAUGUUCGAUGGUUUUAAAAAUUUACAUGUAUUAUGGCAAAAAGUUAGUGAUGUCCCUGUUAGUUUGGCUUAGCAAUUAUGUAACAUUGUGCGGUUAUUGGACUUAAGAAUUUGGGAAGUUUACAUGUAAUAUGGCAAGAAGUUACUGAUGUCCCUAUUAGGUUGGCUUACGAUUC